CCUACGGUGGGCAGCAGUGGGGAAUCUUGCACAAUGGGGGAAACCCUGAUGCAGCGACGCCGCGUGAGUGAAGAAGUAUUUCGGUAUGUAAAGCUCUAUUAGCAGGGAAGAAAAAAGACGGUAGCUGACUAAGAAGCCCCGGCUAACUACGUGCCAGCAGCCGCGGUAAUACGUAGGGGGCAAGCGUUAGCCGGAUUUACUGGGUGGAAAGGGAGCGUAGACGGCGCGGCAAGUCUGAGGUGAAAGGCAAGGGCUUAACCCCUGAACUGCUUUGGAAACUGCCAGGCUAGAGUGCUGGAGAGGUAAGUGGAAUUCCUAGUGUAGCGGUGAAAUGCGUAGAUAUUAGGAGGAACACCAGUGGCGAAGGCGGCUUACUGGACAGUAACUGACGCUGAGGCUCGAAAGCGUGGGGAGCAAACAGGAUUAGAUACCCCAGUAGUC
rnacentral:rRNA from 1 species